AACACGUGGGUGACCUGCCCUCCACUCUGGGAUAAGCCCGGGAAACUGGGUCUAAUACCGGAUAGGACCAUUGAUCGCAUGGUUGGUGGUGGAAAGUUUUUUCGGUGGGGGAUGGGCCCGCGGCCUAUCAGCUUGUUGGUGGGGUGAUGGCCUACCAAGGCGGUGACGGGUAGCCGGCCUGAGAGGGCGACCGGCCACACUGGGACUGAGACACGGCCCAGACUCCUACGGGAGGCAGCAGUGGGGAAUAUUGCGCAAUGGGCGGAAGCCUGACGCAGCGACGCCGCGUGGGGGAUGACGGCCUUCGGGUUGUAAACCUCUUUCGCCAGGGACGAAGAGCAAUUGACGGUACCUGGAGAAGAAGCACCGGCCAACUACGUGCCAGCAGCCGCGGUAACACGUAGGGUGCGAGCGUUGUCCGGAAUUAUUGGGCGUAAAGAGCUCGUAGGC
rnacentral:rRNA from 1 species